CUCUGCCCCUGCCCAGACCUGCGGGACCCUGCGGUGGAGACCUCCUCGGGACACAGCUCUCUGAGAAGAAGGCCAGAAGACAAAAAGCCUACGCAAACUACCUUCAAAAAGAACAUCACAUGAAGAGUUCUCUUUCCUCUUAAUUCUAAUAUCCAAGAGUGUCAAGGACCAAAGUUCCUGCUACAACAGAGUUUACACAUCAGGCUGAGCCUCACCUAGGCCUCGUGGACAACAGCUGCAAUGACUUAAAGAUAAAAAAUGCACAUAUACUGCAUCUUCUUAUCCUUUUGAGGACUACAAACGGGUAUUGGAAGCCCAUAGCAUGUUGCAAGUCUCAAAAAGGACAACAGCUAUGCUUUUCUUGUGAGUUUGCUUUAAACACUAUUAAAGAAAUCUAUUGUGGUGCUCAUUAAAAAAAUAAGGUACAGUGAAACAAUUCCUUUUGAGAUUACUUAAGAUUAUUUUAAAAACUUAUUGGUAGUACUCUAGUUUUGAAACAGUGUUUCAAACUCUAAGAAAAUACACACAAAUCUCAGAACCACAAUAUUUGCAAUGGGUUCUUUAAGGCUAACUUCUCUUUUAUUUCCAAGAUAUAAAUUAAAACUAAAUUGUGAGGUCAUGAAUAUCUCUUAAAAGAGCCCUUCCUGUCAAUCUAUGAAACUAAUUCUGCUUUGCAAUUCAAUAUGCUGCUCAACAGCAUAAUAUACACAUACAUGAUAUGCUACUAACAUUGAAAUUAUUUUCAAAUAUGGGCUAACUCCUGAGCAGGCAGUGUGUAAAAGAUAGGAACAAUUUCAGGAGACAUAAGUUAAAAUGCUUGCCUCCACAGUAAGAUAUCAAGGGAACAAAAAACUCAAGCAAGUACAAAUAAAAGCCAAAUAAUCCACACAAAAGAAAACCUGCCAUAUUUAUGAAAGAAAAAUCAAUCUCUGCUACAAAUUACACAGCUUUCAAAAAUGUAAGACUUGUCAUCUUUUCUAGCCUAAAGCUACAUUCCUAGCUUCAUUUAUCAUGCUUACUGAAAUCAGCAUUAGAAUUCUCGCUCUCAUCAUCCUAAGAAACCCACUAAUUUAUAUUUAUUAGCCUUAAGAGUUCCCAAAAUCAAUCCACUCAACAUCUGAUGAUAAACACUCUCUUAGAAAUGUGUGUAACCAGGAAAUUGAGCAAAUUUUUUUUACCUGAUAAUAAACAAAGAAAACAAUAUCUCUCCAGAUGUAGGAGGCUCUUUGGGGGAAAAAGUUGAAAAUUAUUUUGAUCUAUCUGUAUAUUUAGAAAUAAUAUAAUAGCUAAAAGAAAUUGCAAAACCUGAGUGCACAAAACACACAGACAUCUGGACAAAAGCCAUAUGAAUUCUAAAUAUAUCAGAUUCUCUGGCUUCAAAAUUACACUACUGGUUAACAUCUUUACAAGUUCUGCUGCUCUUUCAGUAAUAACACUUCACCAACACUUCAUAAAGUGUUGAUUUUCUGCAAAAUGUCUCAAGAUAAAAUGCUGCUCUGGAAGUUUUACAGGCAAUGAUAUAUUUGAAGCCACUCAAAAAUGCAGGGUCUAGAUAACAGUGUUAGUUAAAGCAGGUUAGUUACUGGAUGCAAUGGACAGUCCACUUGCACUCUCUUUGUGUUUAAGACUGCAGGUCCACACACAAUUAUUUUGCCUGUACUGCAGAAAAUAUUGUUUUCCACUCCUUCCUCUCUCACAGAAUCACAGAAUGGCUGAGGUUGGAAGGGACCUCUGGAGAGCAUGUAGUCCAGCCCCCUAGGACAGGCUGCAAAGGAUGGUGUUCAGACAGUUCUUGAGCAGGAGGAGACUCCAGAAGCUCUCUGGACAGCCUGUUCCAGAGCUCUGUCACCCUCACAGUAAAGCAGUUUUUGCUCAUUUAUAUGGAAGCUCCCGUGUUUUAUGCCCCUUGUCCUGUCACUGGGCACCACUGGAAAGAGCCUGGCCCCAAGCUCUUGACACGUGCAGGUGUUCGUGUGCAUUGAAAAGCUCCCCUGCACUGUGUCUGUGGAACACGAUCCUGUGCAACUGAGAGAACUAAACCAGGAACUUGUAUUCUGCAAAAACACCCUUGACAAAAAAGUGCAAAGCUUCUCUGUACCUAAAGGAGUUUCCCAGUUCAGUUCAUAGCCCAAACAUUGCAUUAACACCAGACGAAAUCAAAGAAUAGGAGCUUUUUUCUUCAACUUGUUUUUAACUCGACAAUUUAUUAUA